UUUUGGUGGGGACACGUCUUUCACUUCCAUGGUUCCUACAUCAUUUUGCUGUCACUUUAAGUGCUUCUAAUUUUACUCUUUAUUUUCCUGCUUUCCUUCUUCUUCUAUGGAUUUUCCCUAUUCUUCCUUUUGCUGUUUUUUUUUCCUUUUCAUUCAUGGAAAACUGCGAGCUCCAGUCCACGGUUCUUUCUCUAUGUUUAUUAUUAGCUGUUGCAUAUAAGUAAUUUUUUUAUUUUAAUGUAAGAUUUGAAUUUGUGUUUUAAGAAUUCAAUUUGACCAAACAACUGAAAGGCACAUAGGGUUUUCUGGAGUACAGGAGAAAACAUGUGAAGGCUGCAAAGAACCUGCUUCAUAGUGAUAUGUGGGCUACUCAUAUAAAGAGGUCCUUCAGUUUUACAAUAACAUGAGAGGAGAUAAGAGUGUUGUUGCUUUCUCUGAACUUAUGAAGCCCUCUCCAAUAUUUGAGGACUUAAGGUUUCAUCUACAAUGAUUGUAAGGUGUAUACUCUCUUUCACAAGCAGUUGAAGUAUGCACCAACUUAAUGAAGCUUGAUUUGCAUGACAAGAUGUUCACUGAUGAAGCUGGAUUGUGUUGAAAAAGUCGUAUCAAGUAUGAAGUAGAUCUUUGCAAUAAGCUGGGAUGAUCCUUUUUGAAACAAUAAUUGGUACUUGAAUUAUAUAAGGCUUCUCACCUCAAGAACCAUCUCCACAAUCAACAGCGAAAGCUUAAAUGUAAAUGUGAGGUUUCCUUCAAUGUCAUUUCAUUUUGUAUGGAUAAAAUUGCAUAAUGAUUGUCUGGUACGGGCGAACCCAGAGAAGAGGUGACACCUUAAACAAUAGAUGUUUACCUUUGCCUUUUUUUGUACUGUCUAUUUUUAUCUCAGCUAUCUGGUGUGGUUUUUGAGUGAGUUCAAAUUUAAUUUAGAUGAAUUUGCUUCAUAAUUGCUAUUUUUGCAUCAAAAUGCUAUUUUUUUGGUGAAGAUCAAGAAACAAACAACAAAUCAUUUAUUAUGUUUAGUAAUAUAGAGAAGACUUUCCACAAAAUUCUCAUCUUUGGUAGCUAUCUAUUCUUCAUUGUCAUUUUAUUAAUCAGUACCAGGUACUGCUCACCUGCAAUCCUCAUUUGCUUUAGAAGGAACACAUAUUUGUGUGUUAUCAGUUGUUUAAGAUUGAUUGAACUUGGUAAAACACAGUUUGAAGCUUGGCUAAAUAAAAGGAAAUUUUUUCUCAUUUCCCUUUGCUUCUGUUAAUGAUAAAUCAUCCUGCCCUUUUUUUUAUCAAGUAAGCAUAAAUCAUUAUGUUUUUACUGAUUAAUGAGACAUAUUAGCUUUAACGUGCUUUAUUCUUUCAUCCCUUGCACUCGAACCAGUUAAUCCUAACAUGGUUAUGGUACUUGCUUCAAAUUAGGCAAAUAAUUAAAUGCAUUUGAAGUUGCCGCACAAGUUAGUCUAUAUCAUUCUUUCAUUGCAUCAUAAUAUUAUAUUUUGUACAUGCUAAUCUGUAGAAACAUACAAAGAGAUAAGUCGUGGCUGUAUACAGUAGUGAGUUAUUUCAAUUAAAACAGUAUAUUCUCUUUAUAGUUUAUGAUUAGACUGGUAUAGAAUUUUUUUAAUGUAGUAUUCUGAAGUAAGCAACAGUCAUGGGGAAAUUACCAAAUAGCAAUGAAAUGCUUCAUAAAAAAGGGUACAUAGAACAAAGCUCCAAUUUUUUUAUCAACUGACAAUAAUAUUUUCACACGCUAACAGAGAUUUUUACGCUAGAAUAUAAUGCUGAGCAAUAUCUCUUUCUCUAAAGAAAAUUUCUCCGUGCAUUAGUAAAAGAGGCAUAAAUAAUUGAUUUUAAACAUAUGUAUUCCUAGAUUGUUGUUGUGGGAUUAUACUGGGUCGUUGUUGUUGUUGUUGUAUUCCUAGAUUGCUAUGAGUCUUCUCGAAACUCACAUAAUAAAUAUCUAACUGGCUGGGUAACUCCAAGGAAGAGGUUGCCUUUCCUGUAAAGUAUGAAGGAUAAUUGGAGAAAGAUGGUAUAUGGUGCUUGAUACUUCCAUGCUAAUAGAAUGAGACGGUAGCACAAUAAAUUUCUCCAUUAUAUGUUUAUGUUACAAGGGGGUCCAUAUCAGGAUAGUUUCACUGGCGAGGGUUGAAUAGAUUAUUCCAAGGUAGUGACUGAAAGAAACUUUAGAUGUUACUUAUGACACACACCCACACGCACUUUUACUCUCCUUUUUGGGUCUUCUUUUCGGUUCAUACUUUUUGUUGUUUAUCUUCUAACUCUAAUCAUCCUAAAGCAUUUGCAGUGGCAGCUAAUUUGAGAGUUCAAAAGGAAAAUGAUUUGAGAUGUUCGAAGAUGGACUUCCAUCAAUUUCUCAGGUGCAAUGAUCAGAAAAGUUCUGUUACCUUAACAAUUUUCCAUUACUCUUUGCUGAAUACCUUAGCUAGACUCAAAUCAAACUAUCCAACCCAAGAGGUGCUACCAGCAACUAGCUAGGAAGGAUGAUGCGAAAGAAACAUAAGCCGUUUGGAACACUGUAGUUGUCUGCAUACUCUAUAUAUUUUGGACAAUCUUAAAGGAAUAACAACUGAUGAAUUGCGGAACCAUCAAUAUGAAAUUGUUGUAUGUUGCUGCAUCUAUUAUUUUGCUACGUUUUGUAUCUUUUGUAACUCAAAACAUGUAGCAGCACCUACUUGGUGUUAAUUAAGCUUUGAUUACUUAUUGAAAAAAUGUGUUGGAAUU